GGCGUGUUCCUGGGCGGUCGCAGCUCCCCCUGGUGGCGGCCCGGCGGCGCUGGAGGCGCGCAGUCAGGCGUUCUCCGCGGGCAGCCGGCGGCGGGGCCUUGCCUUAUAGCGCGGGGUCCUCGGCGGCCUGGGUGUCUACUGCCCCAGCUGCUGUCGUAGGCGAGGACGGCUGCUAGUGCGGCUGCUGUUGGUUCGCGGCGGCGGCGGCGGCGGCGGCGGCGGCGGCGGAGGAGGAAGAGGGCGAGGCGACAGGGAAAGAAGGCGGCAGGCGCGGCGGCGGCGGCUUCGCCCGGGGCCGGCGGCGGCGGCGGCGGCGGGGGGGGAAGAUGGCGGACGUGCUCAGCGUCCUGCGACAGUACAACAUCCAGAAGAAGGAGAUUGUGGUGAAGGGAGACGAAGUGAUCUUCGGCGAGUUCUCCUGGCCCAAGAAUGUGAAGACCAACUAUGUAGUUUGGGGGACUGGAAAAGAAGGCCAACCCAGAGAGUACUACACAUUGGAUUCUAUCUUGUUUCUACUUAAUAAUGUGCACCUUUCUCAUCCUGUUUAUGUCCGACGGGCAGCUACUGAAAAUAUUCCUGUGGUUAGAAGACCUGACCGAAAAGAUCUACUUGGAUAUCUCAAUGGUGAAGCAUCAACAUCAGCAAGCAUAGACAGAAGUGCCCCUCUAGAAAUAGGUCUUCAGCGAUCUACCCAAGUGAAACGAGCUGCAGAUGAAGUUUUAGCAGAAGCAAAGAAACCACGCAUUGAGGAUGAAGAGUGUGUGCGCCUUGAUAAAGAGAGAUUGGCUGCUCGUUUGGAGGGUCACAAAGAAGGGAUUGUACAGACGGAACAGAUUAGGUCUUUGUCUGAAGCUAUGUCAGUGGAAAAAAUUGCUGCAAUCAAAGCCAAAAUUAUGGCUAAGAAAAGAUCUACUAUCAAGACUGACUUAGAUGAUGACAUAACUGCCCUUAAACAGAGAAGUUUUGUGGAUGCUGAGGUAGAUGUGACACGAGAUAUUGUCAGCAGAGAGAGAGUGUGGAGGACACGAACAACUAUCUUACAGAGCACAGGAAAGAAUUUUUCCAAAAAUAUUUUUGCAAUUCUUCAGUCUGUAAAAGCUAGAGAAGAAGGGCGUGCACCUGAACAGCGACCAGCCCCAAAUGCAGCACCUGUGGAUCCCACAUUGCGUACCAAACAGCCUAUCCCAGCUGCUUACAACAGAUAUGACCAGGAAAGAUUCAAAGGAAAAGAAGAAACGGAAGGCUUCAAAAUCGACACUAUGGGCACCUACCAUGGUAUGACACUGAAAUCUGUAACGGAAGGUGCAUCGGCCCGUAAGACUCAGGCUCCUGCGGCACAGCCAGUACCAAGACCAGUUUCUCAAGCAAGACCUCCCCCAAAUCAGAAGAAAGGAUCUCGAACACCCAUUAUCAUAAUUCCUGCCGCUACCACCUCUUUAAUAACCAUGCUUAAUGCAAAGGACCUUCUACAGGACCUGAAAUUUGUCCCAUCAGAUGAAAAGAAGAAACAAGGCUGCCAACGAGAAAAUGAAACUUUAAUACAGAGAAGAAAAGAUCAGAUGCAACCAGGAGGCACUGCGAUUAGUGUCACAGUCCCUUACAGAGUAGUAGACCAGCCCCUUAAGCUUAUGCCUCAAGACUGGGAUCGGGUUGUAGCAGUUUUUGUGCAAGGUCCUGCAUGGCAGUUCAAAGGUUGGCCAUGGCUUUUGCCUGAUGGAUCACCAGUUGACAUAUUUGCUAAAAAUCAAGCUGGCUGCCUCAGAUCUUCCUCUUCUCAUCUAUGUAGCUGCAGAAGGAAUGGUUGCGGGAAUAUCAGCAUGAUAUUGGUAAAUGCCUGAAAAGCUUCUGACAAUGUGUUUUCCAACCAGAAGGUUUUAACUUGAAACUCUCUCAUGAAAAGUUCCAGGCCCAGCAUGGACCCCACCAUGGGGCUUGAACUCAUGACCCUGAGAUUAAGAUUUGAGCUGAGAUCAAGAGUCAGAAGCUUAACCAACUGAUCCACCCAGGUGUCCCACAUGCCUUCCCUUGUUUGCAUACAGUUGUUUCCCUUAUUAUUUCUAGUUGUUUUAAUUACAUUUAUUAGAAUUCUUACGGCUUAGAAACUUUACUUCAGUGAAAACUAAGUAGUAAGCAAUUGUGAACUGUCUAAGUUACACCAGAAUUCUUUGGGAUUGGCAAAUUUAUGAAUAUAUUUUAUAAUUUCCAGAAACAUGUUCUUUUUUAUAAUUUUAAUGUUGAUAACUCUGAAUACAUGUCUAUUAAAACAACAACCUUAAAUUAGCUUUAAUACUAACUAUUUUUCCAAAUACUAAGUAUUUACUAAGAUGGCAUGAACUUGAAAAGCAUUUGGGUUAGUUUCCUUCUUUCUGAGUUUUAGAAUGCCCAAUUCUUGUAAGUGCUUGCCUUUAUCCCAAUUAAAUAGAGCUCUUUUACAAAGUAGUUUUAGCAAUACCAUUCAGAGGUCAAAAAAUCUCUCAUGUUUACAACCUACAUAUGUGGAUACACACAGAGACAGAUGUAAAACCCUAUAGGUACAAUAUUUAUGGAGAAGAUUUUCAAGAUUUGUGUUUGUACCUGUACCUGAAAUUAGUCUUGAGGUGACUGUGCUCGAGUUUGAACACAAGAGCCAUCUUACGAGUUUGUAUUUUGAAAAAAGUCUUCUUCCCACCCCACUCCACCAUUUUUUUUUCCUUCAGUGUCAGGUGAUUGUGGGCUAUGUUUACAUUUCAAAGACAGGACAAGUUGUAUAACUUAAAAGAGGUGGAGAAAGAACACAAGUUUUCCCCAAAAAGGACUUUCGUUUCCUGAAGCCAAUAAUUUACAAGCCUUUAAGAUAAAUAGGGGAAGAUUUGGGAUCAGAAAAGGAAUAGGUGACCUUUGGGGGUGGAUUGCCUCUAGAGUUGCAUUUCUAGCUUUGUAAAGUUUUGUAAGAUAAGGAAAGCUGCUUCUAAAACUUCAAAGAACUGGGUUGCAAGUUAAAUAAUGUUAUAAGUUGAUCUACUCAGCUGAUUCCAUUUUCCUCAAUUUGCCUCUUCCUCUCUGGGUACAUCUUACUCGUUUCCUGCCAGGAUAGUAUCCUGUCAGUGUUUUUAGAAGCUUCGAAAUACCAAUCGAAAUAUGCAUCCCACUCAGAUUGUUUAGUUCAAUAGCCAGCUUUUUCUCAAGUUGGGUCCACAAAUACAGUAAUUAGGUAUUUUAAAGAAUCCUCAUUUAGGCCAUUUGAGAGUUGAAACCAUCCCUAGUAUAAUCCUUUAAAAACCUUUCUUUUGACCUCCGUCACCCAGGGAUUUCUAGGCUCAAUUUGAACAAGCAUUGAAUCCCACAGGGCGUUUACCGAAGGGGUCUUCUAAAAGGUUUUCCCCAGCGUUCCUUUAGUCUUUGCAAUUAACAAAACAGAGAGCAUUAAUUACUGUGGCAGAGCCAAAGCUCACUUAUCUGCCAGUCCCUUCAGGUGCUGAACAAAGGAUGUUCAGGUGGCCACUUCACCUCUAAGGUUGUGGGAUAGAUGAGUUCGGUCACCAGGGAUCAAGUGGGAUGGUCCUCGUGGAGAACCCAAGGUGACCAGUUGUCCAGAGUCAGCGAGCACCACAUGAGCUGCUGCUGCCGCCAACUGCUUUGCUCCUGCUCCCAGACCACCCAGGCACACAAACCACCGACAUGCCCCACCUGGGUGGCCAAAAUUUAUAACCGAACUUAAAGGGCUUAUCCUUUGGGGUACAUUAAAUUCAACAUAACCCAAAGGAGUGUUGAAAGCAAAGAACUUUUUACCACUUUUUACAAGCAGGGAGACAGGGAGAUAGCUCUCAAAGCAUCGUCUCUUUACUCAUAAUUCCUUUUCUGUGGAGUCUUGUCUGGCACAGAGCAUGGGGGUGGGGGUGCUGGUCAGCUUGGGAUUUCCCCCAUGGACAGGGGGCUUUACCCUCCUGGCCCCUUGACCCACACUUGUUUCCUUUUCUGUCUCCUGCCUGGCUCGCCAACUGGUAGAACGUGGAAGAGGGGAGGGACAGUAAAGUAUCCUCCAGACUGAGAAGGCACUUCGAGACAGAAAAAGCAAAGCAGGCAACUCCAUACAGUUUACAUAGAGUUUUAUUCGGAGAAACUUACUGACAGGGAGGAUCGGAUGGAUGUCAAUCUGGAGCUGUGCAGCUAUGCUCUGCAAAGCCCAGACCAUAGUCUAUGGAUUUUAUUGAGUGAGGGGACGCCCGGAGGGCAUUGUAGUGAGAUCAGAGGGUUCCCAUGCACUUCUAAGGGUUUGCAUGCUCUUAAUUGACAGCUAACAUUUGAUUAGAUCUCGUGGUGCCACCUGUGCAUUAGGAAGGGGAAAGACUAUGUUAUCUCUAACAGAUUCAUGGGAGGCCAAAGCAAGGUGCUCUACAUUCCAGCCUUGGGAAGCAUUUCUAAGGUAUACACAUUAAUCUCCAAGGGGCCUGGAAUAUGUAGCCCCAGGAGAGGCCAUCCAGUGGGUAUGAACAAGACGGAGGGCCAAGGAUGUGGUUAGUGUUGUCAGCACUCCUGCCCUCCACUUAAUUGCCUUUGGUCCUCUGUCGAAAUUUAGUUGUCCAUAUACGUGUGGAUCUAUUUCUGGAUUUUACAAUCCAGAAUUCCUUUCAUUUAUUUGUCUGCAUGUAUGUCAUUAUUGUACUAACUUGAUGAUGGUAGCUUUAUAAUAGGUCUUGAAAUCAGAUAAUGUUAAUCCUCCAAUUUGGUCUUUUUAGAAUUAUUUUGGCAAUUUAUAGGUCCUUUGCAUUUUCAUAGGAAUUCUGGAAACUGUCAGUAUCUACAAAAACCCAUGCUGAGAUUUUGGUUUUGAUUGUGAUAGGUUAUACAUCAAUUUGGGACAACUGAAAUACUAACAAUAUUGAAUGUUCCACCUUAUUACAAGGCAUAGCUCUCUGUUUACUUAGAUCUUUAAUUCCUCUCAGUGGUGUUCUGUAGUUUUAAGGGUGCAGGUCUUUGCCAUGUUUUGGCAGGUUGGUUUAUCCUUCAGCAUUUCAUGUUUUUUUGAUUCCAUCUUUAAAAAGAAGAAUUUUGUUUUGUCUUUUUAUGAGCAAUUUUAGGUUCACAGCAAAAUUGAGCAGAAAGUUAGAGGAGUUCCUGUAUGCUCCCUAUCCCCAUAUACACACGGUCUUCCUCACUAUCAACAUCCCACACCAGAGUGGUACAUUUGUUACAACUGAUGAGCCUACACUGACACAUCAUAAUCACUUAUAGUUCAUAGUUUAUACUGGAGUUCAUUAUUGGUGUUGUACAUCCUAUGGAUUUUAGCAAAUAUAUAAUGGCAUUUAUUCACCAUUAUAGUAUUAUACAGAAAGUUUCAUUGCCCUACAAAUUCCUUGUACUUCAUGAUUCAUCUCUCCUUCCCCACUAACCCCUGGCAAACAUUGAUCUUUUUACUGUCUAUAAGUUUUGCCUUUUCGAGAAUGUCAUAUAUAUUGGAAUCACAGUAUAUAGCCUUUCCAGAUUGGCUUCUUUCACUUAAUAAUACACAGUUAAGUUCCCUCCAUAUCUUUUCGUGCCUUGAUAGUUCAUUUCUCUUUAGUGCUAACUAAUACUUUAUUGUCUGGUGUGCCACAGUUUGUUUAUCCAUUCACUCGCUGAAGGAUAUCUUGGUUGCUUCUAAGUUUUAACAAUUAUGAAUAAAGCUUCUAUACAGAUCCUGAUGAAGGUUUUAGUGUGAACAUAAGUUCUCAGGUUCUUUGGAUAAAUAUGAUAGAGCAUAGGAUCAUAUGGUAAGAAUAUGUUUAGCUUUGUAAGAAACUACCAACUGUCUUCCAAAGUGGCCAUACCAUUUUGCAUUCCCACCAGCAGUGAAUGAGAGUUCCUGUUGCUCCACAUGUUCUCCAGCAUUUGGUGUUGUAAGUGUUCUGGAUUUUUGCCAUUCUAAUAGAUGUGCAAUGUUAUCUUGUUGUUCUAAUUUACAAUUUCCUAAACAUGUUUCAUGUGGACCUUCUUUUCAUAUCUUCUUUGGUGAAGUGUCUGUUCAGAUCUUUUGCCCAUUUUUUAAUUGGGUUGUUAGUUUUCCAUUGUUGAGUUUUAAGAGUUCUUUGUAUAUAUUGUAUAACAGUCCUUUAUUAGAUAUGUGUUUUUGCAAACACUUCCACCAGUCUGUGGCUUGUCUUCUCAUUCUCUUGACAGCAUCUUUUUUUUUUUUUAAAGAUUUUAUUUAUUUAUCUGACAGAGAGAGACACAGCGAGAGAGGGAACACAAGCAGUGGGGAGCGGGAGAGAGAGAAGCAGGCUUCCCACCUAGCAGGGAGCCCAGGACCCUGGGAUUAUGACCUGAGCCAAAGGCAGACGCUUAUCGACUGAGCCACCCAGGCACCCCCUCUUGACAGUAUCUUUUGCAGAGCAUAAGUUUUUAAUUAUAAUAAAGUCCAACUUAUUAAUUCUUCCUUUCAUGGAUGAUGCCUUUAGUGAUUUAUCUAAAGAAGUCAUCACCAAACCCAGGGUCCAUUAGAUUUUCUCCUACCUUAUCUUCUAGGAGUUUGAGAGUUUUGUAUUAUACAUUUAGAUCUAUGAAUCAUUUUGAGUUAAUUAUUGUGAAGGGUGGGAGUUCUAUAUCUAUAUUCAUUUUGUACAAAUGGAUAUCUAUUUGUUCUAGUACCAUUUGUUGCAAAGACUAUCUUUUUUCCACUGAAUGGCCUUUACUCCUUUGUUGAAAAUCAGUUGAUUAUAUUUAUCUGGGUCUAUUUCUGGACUCUCUAUUUUGUUUCACUGAUCUAUUUGUCUGUUCUUUUGCCAAUGCCACAGUGUUUUGAUUACUGUAGUUUUAUAGUGAGUCUUGAAAUGGGGUGGUGUCUGUCCUCUGACUUUGCUCUUCCCUUCAGUGUUGUGUUGGUUAUUACGGAUCUUUUGCUGCUCUAUAUAAACUUUAAAACCAGUUUGUCAAUAUCCACAAUAACUUGCUGGGGUUUUGAUUGGGGUUUCUAGUUUUAUUUAUAUAGAACUUGUUCAUAUUUUGUUAGAUUUAUACCAAUGCAGUUCACUUUGAGGGGUGCCAAUGCAAAUGGUAGUAUAUUUUUAAUUUCUGAUUCCAUUUAUUCAUUGCUGUUAUAUAAGGAAGUAAUUGACUUUUGUAUGUUAACUUUGUAUCCUGAAACUUUGCUAUAAUCAUUUAUUGGUUCCAGGGAAUUUUUUUUUUUUUGUCAAUUCUUUGGAUUUUCUACAUAAUCAUGUCAUCUGCAAACAAAGACAGUUUUAUUUCUUCCUUUCCAAUCUGUAUAUCUUUUAUUUGUUUUUCUUGUCUUGCUGCAUUAGCCAGGGCUUCCGGUGUGAUGGUGAAAAGGAACAGUGGAGAGGAAAUCCUUGUUUUGUUCCUGAUCUUAGUGGGAAAGCUUCUAGGUUCUCAACAUUAAGUCUGAUGUUAGCUAUAGGUUUUUUGUAGAUGUUCUUGAACAAGUUGAGGAAGUUCCUCUCUACUCAUAGUUUGAUGAGGGUUGGUAUUAUAAAUAGGUAUUGAAUUUGUCGAUUUUUUUCUCCAUCUAUUGAUAUGAUCAUGUAAUUGUUCUUCUUUAGCCUGUUGUGAUAAAUUAUAUGAAUUGAUUUUUUUCUUUCUUUCCCCCAGCUUUAUUGAGGUAUGAUUGACAAAAACAGUACAUAUUUAGGUUGUACAAAAAUUUUAAAGGUGUACAAUGUGAUGAUUUAAUAUACAUGAACAUUUUGAAAUGAUUACCACAAUCUAGUUAACAUAUCCAUCAUUCACACAGGUCUGUGUGUGUGUGUGUGUGUGUGUGUGGUGAGAACAUUUAGGAUCUACUCUUUUGGAAGAUUUCAAGUAUAUAAUACAAUAUUACUAACUACAGUCACUAUGCUGUAUGUCAUAUCUUCAAGACAUAUCCAUCCUGCAUAACUAUAUAACUUUGCAUAACUGUAUAACUUUCAUAACUGCAUAAACUUUGUAUCUUUUGAUCAACACAUCCCCGUUUCCCUCACCCUGCAGCUCCUAGUAAUAACUGUUCUACUCUUUGGUUCAGUGAAUCUGCCAUUGUUUUUUCUUUUUAGAUUCCAAAUAUAAGUGAGAUCAUUUGGUAUUUGUCUUCCUGUAUCUGACUUAUUUCUUAGUUUCUGGCUUAUGUCCUCUGUGUUCAUUCAUGUUCUCACAAAUGGCAGAAUUUCUUUCUUUUUAUGGCUAAAUAAUGUUUCACUGUGUGUGUGCAUGUGUGCCUGUAUGUGCGCGCAUGUGUGUGUGAGAGAGAGAGAGAAGCAUUUAAAAUCCAUUUAUCUAUAGAUGAGCACAUAGGUUGUUUCCAUUAUCUUGGCUAUUAUGACUAAUGUUGCAGAUGAACAUGGAGUACAGAUAUCUCUUUGAGUUAUUAAUUUCAUUUCCUUUGGAUAUAUUCCCAGAAAUGGGGUUGUUGGAUCAUACAGUAGUUCUAUUUUUAUUUUUUUUGAGGACUUUCCAUAGUACCUGUACCAAUUUACAUUUCCACCAACAGUAUACAAGGGUUUUUCUUCAUACCCUUGGCAACACUUAUGUCUUGUCUUUUUGAUAAUAGUCAUUCUGACAGUGUAAAGUGAUACUUCAUUGUGGUUUCGAUUUGCAUUUUUCCCUGAUGAUUAGUGAUGUUGAGCAUCUUUUCAUGUACCCAUUCACCAUCUGUGUGUCUUCUUUGGAAAAAUGUGUAUUCAGGUCUUUUGUCCAUUCUUAAAUCAGAUUAUUUGGGUUUUCUAAUUUUUUAUUUUUGCUAUUGAGUUGUGUGAGUUCCUUAUAUAUUUUGGAUAUUAACUUCUUAUCAGAUAAUAUGGUUUGCAAAUAUUUUCCCCAUUACGUUGAUUGCCUUUUAUUUUGCUGAUUGUUUCCUUUGCUGUGCAAAGCUCUUUAUUUUGGUAUAGUCCCAUUCCUUGAUUUUUACAUGCAUUGUGUAUACUUUUGUUAUCACAUAUGUUAAUUGAUUUUUUGAAUGUUGAACUGGCCUUGCCUACAUGGCAUAAAUCUCAGUUUGUCAUGGGGUAUGAUGCUAUUUUUUUCAAUGAUAAAUUUCAGUUUCUAACGGUUUGUUUCUAGUAUAUAGAAAUACAUUUGGUUCGGGACGCCUGGGUGGCUCAGUCGGUUAAGCUGCUGCCUUCGGCUCAGGUCACGAUCCCAGUGUCCUGGGAUCGAGUCUCACAUCAGGCUCCUUGCUUGGCAGGGAGCCUGCUUCUCCCUCUGCCUGCCUCUCCCCCUGCUUGUGUUCUGUCUCUCUCUCUCUGACAAGUAAAUAAAAUCUUUAAAAAAAAAAAAAAGAAAUACAUUUGGUUCUUGUAUGUGGAUCUUGUAUAUUGAUCCUGUAAUCUUGCUAAACUGAUCUUUAAUUCUAGUAAGUUUUUUAUAGAAUCCAUUGGAUUUUCUAUGUAGAUAAUCAUGUCAGUGUUGGUGAGUUUGCAGCCAAAGACUCGAGGGGGACCCUUUGCAAUCUUCAGAGCUCUUUUUCUGUGCAUUUCUCUACUUUAGGGUACUCUACCCUACAAACUCCAGGCACUUUGGCUUCCCAAGCUUUCAGAUCUCUCUUAUCAUCUCAGGGAAACUGAUGGGCUCUAUCUGGGUUCCCUUACUCUCUACCAUGGCCUGGAAAUGUUUUGUAGUAAAGUCAUAGGAUUUGUUACCUGUCCCUCAGGGACCAAGAUGUUCAAUGUCUUGAAAAUUGUUGUUUCAUGUAUUUUGUCUGUUUUUUUGAGUUGUUUUCUUUUGGGGGAAGGGUAAUGCAAAUCUGGUUUCUCUUACCCCUUCUUGGCCAGAAGCUAAAACUUGAAGAUACCUUCCCAUGUAAGAAUGUAUUAGUGUAUUUCAAUUUUUAUUAAAGGAAGCACUGUAUUUAUUUUACUUUAUUUUAUUUGAGAGAGAGAGAGAGAGAUCAUGAGCAGGGGGGAGGGAUAGAGGGAGAAGCAGACCCCCUGAUGAGCUGGGAGCCCAAUGUGGGACUCGAUCCCAGGACCCUGGGAUCAUGACCCGAGCUGAAGGCAGAUGCUUAAUGGACUGAGCCACCCAGGCACCCAGGGAAGCACUAUGUUUUGUAUUUAUGUGCUAUACUUUAUACAUUGUUUCCUUAUUGAAGGAUAUUUAGAUUGUUCCACUUUGUUUUCUUUACAAAUGAGAUGUAAUGCAUGUUCUUCUCAAUAUUAUCUGAAUUGCACUGAAUUUUGCAUGAAAUGAGUACUUACUGAGAUACUUAAAAUUGUAUUCAUAUCAGCAAAACUGAAUGCCUAGUACUUGGCCAGAAUUAUAUUAAGCAAUAUAUAUAAUCAUAUUGAGAAUUCUUAUUUAAAGACACAAUACUUAAGAGAAUUAAAGCAUAAAGUGAAAUAAUAAGAAUACACAGCCACCUUCAGUUUAUCCAGAGUCUUAGGGGAAUUGGGUAUGCUGGAUAAAUGCCUUUUUUGGACAUUGGUAAGGCUAAAAAAUGAGGUAAAAAAUGAUUUGAACUCAACCUAAUUGAAAUCCUGAAAACUGUAUUAUAUACUUCCUAACUUUAGUAUAAAGAAUAAAAUUAAAUAAUUUAACCAUAUCUUGAUGAUUCACAAUCAUUCUUAUAAACACAAAUGCAUAUAUGCUGAUGUAGAAGUUGUGGGACAUUGAGAAGAAUCAGUACUGGCAAAUGCCAUCAGGAUUAGGUAGAAUGUCCAUGCAUUUUAGCUGACUUCCUGGUAGAAUGUCUCUUUUCUUUCAAGUACUUUCAUAGUGCACAUUUUAGCUUAGACUUAGUAUAUCAGUUAUUAGAGUGGUUUAUAUUUAUAUCUUUUCAUUCUGCUAUAUUUUUAGUUCCUGGAAGGCAGGAACACCCUGUUCGUCAUGUUUUUAAACCCCACAGUUCCUGGGUAAGUAUUGGAUAUGAUUAAUUUAGGAGGACUUAGGAGAAUAAGAAAUUUCAAACUCUUGUCUGAUGAAUUGGGAUAUAAAUACAUAAGUUAAAACAAAAUAUUGAAAAGGCUAACAGUCCAAUAUUACAACAAGACAAAUAGUUUAUAUCUUAAUCUGAAAUUUAUCUCUGUACAUUGCUGAAAGUUUAGUAAUGUGUAUGUGGACCAGCAAGAAUAUACAAAGAGAGUGAGAAAUGAAUAGAUUGGGAAAAGGAAUCUCUCCAGUCACUCUAAGGAUAGAGAAAUUUUACCUUUUGGCUUCUCAGGAGGAAGAGGAAAAAAAACUUAGGUUUGAGUGUGUUGUGUCUUCUUUCCCAUCUGAUGUAUUGUCAUAAGGUCAAUGAGAGAGGGAAAUUCUAAUGUAGUCUAAUAUAGUAGUUGAGGAAAAAAAGACUCUAAUAUAGUAAUUAAUUAGUUGAACAAAUUAUAUAUUGAGCACUUACUAUUUAGUUAUCACUUUGCUAGCAAAAUUCAGAAUCCACUUUUUAGGUGUUUGCUAACUAGCCAUGGUUUACUUCUUCUGAAAUGGAUUUUUUCUUUGGGAUCAAGAAGAUAAACCCUAACAAGGAUGAAUUGGAAAUUAAGAUAUAAGGCACUUCUCAAAGAUUUUCCUUUACACUAGGAGUAAUUUUUUGCUUUGGCCAUUUGAAAAGUAAAUAUGGAAAAAAAGAUAGCAAGUCCCUAGUUUGAGAGAGAUAACCUUUAGGAAGAUUUUGAUAUACGUUGACAAAACUACCAUCUGCAUUUUAAAUUUUAUUCAUAAUUUAUGAUUGCUACCCCUGCUCACCUUUCAAGCAAGGUCUAAACUAAAAGGGAAAUAUUUUUCCUCUUUUCUUUUAUCUUAUGUGUAUUGAAACAGUUGUAUUUUAAAAUUUCAAAGUACAGAGCAUAGCUGGAUCUCUUUUUUUUUCUGUGGGGAUUACUUACACAUCCCAGAAAGAGGUGUGAAGUAGGCUACAGGAAAGAUGUACUGCAGAAGAAAAAAGCAUAGUGAGAAGCAUGAUGAUAUUGUUUCCAAAUUUUUAACCAUAUACUUUGGCAGGAAAAAAAAAUGAUCUUAGAAAAAUGAUUAAGAAUACAGAUGGUUCCUAGCUUAUGAUGGUUCAGCUUAUGAUUUUUAGACUUAACAAUGAUGCAGAAGCAACCCACAUCCAUAGAAACCAUACUUUGCAUUUUGAAUUUUGAUCUUUUCUUGGGCUAGGCGUAUGCGGUAAAAUAUUCUCAUGACGCUGGACAGCUCCCAGUCAGCCUUGCACUCACAAAGGUAAACAACUGAUACAACUAUGACCAUUCUGUACACAUAUAACAUUCUGUUUUUCACUGUAUUCAAUACAUUACAUGAGAUAUUCAGCACUUUAUUAUAAAAUAGACUUUGUGUUAGACAAUUUUGCCCAGCUGUAGGCUAAUGUAAGUGUUCUGAGUUUAUUUAAGGUAGGCUGGGCUGAUCUAUGAUAACAGGUAGGUUAGGUGUAUUAAAUGCAUGUUUGAUUUAUGAUGAAUGUAUUGGGAUAUUGGGAUGUAAUCCCAUCAUAAAUUGAGGUAGAUCUGUACUGAAUUCAACGCUCUCUUUUUAAUCUGCUGACUUCUAAAUGCAAAAGAUUCUAUUUUAGAACAAAUCCUUCUCCGACAAAUUUUCUUUCCUGAUACAUUUUGGUAUGUGGUUAAUUUUAUAAAUUGCCUAAAAUAUAACAUCUUUCCAUUUUGCUAACUCAUUGAUUCCGUUUUGUAACAAUUGAAUCAAGGCCUGAAUGAGAGGAUAAUAAAGAUAGGGUAGAUUAAGAAUAAGUACUUCAAACAAUGGAAAAGAGUUAUUUCAACAUGUUCUUUUCUUGCCACAACACACUCAGAUAGGCACGUCUGGAUCUUGACUUUCUGGAAAAGUUAUGGAGAUGUAAAGCAACAAAUAUUAUACACAAUUAUACCACUGUACCUUUAACCAAUGUCUCCCCAUUUUCUCCUCCCCAAUCCCCACCCCUGCAAUUACCUUUCUAUUCUCUGUUUUUAUGAGUUUGACUCCUUUACAUUCCACAUACAAGUUAGGUGAGAUCAUGCCGUAUUUGUCUUUUUGUGUCUGGCUCAUUUUACUUAGUAUAAUGUCUUCCAGGUUCAUCCAUAUUGUUGCAUGUAGCAGGAUUCCCCACCCCCCUUUCUUUAAGACUGAAUAAUAGGCUGAGUAAUACUCCAGUGUGUGUGUGUGUGUGUACAACAAUACAUACAAACACACACACACACACACACACACAUAUAUAUAUAUACACCACAUUUCUUUAUCCAUUCUGUUGGUGGGCAUUUAGGUGGUUUCCAUAUCUUAGCUAUUGUGAGUAAUACUGUAGUGAACAUGGCAGUGCAGUUAUCUCUUCAAGAAAGCACUAUUAUUAGGGCACCUGGGUGGCUCAGCUAGUUAGGCAUCCAACUCUUGAUCUCAGCUUAGGUCUUGAUCUCAGGGUUCUGAGUUCAAGCCCUGCGUUGGUCUCUACUCUGGGCAUGGAGCCUACUUAAGAAAAAAAAGAGAAGGCACUAUUUUUUUUUUUAAGAUUUUAUUUAUUUGACAGAGAGAGACACAGUGAGAGAGGGAAUAUAAGCAGGAGGGGUGGGAGAGGGAGAAGCAGGCCUCCCGCCAAGUAGGGAGCCCGAUGUGGGGCUCGAUCCCAGGACCCUGGGAUCAUGACCUGACCCGAAGGCAGACGCUUAACGACUGAGCCACCCAGGUGCCCAAGAGAAGACACUAUUAUUAAAUAUAUCUUCUUGCUAACUAAGACUAUUUACGGAUUUUUAACCCAUCACUUGAAGAACAUAAUGACUAAUAUUACCAGCAUCAUCACUUAGUCUUCAUUUGAUUUGGUCAUUUGGACUGUUACUCAUGAUACUUGAAUCAUGAUGGUUCAAGUAUCAGGCCAAUGGAGAUGACUGGUUGUAAAAUGGUUGUCAGUGGAGGGGCACCUGGGUGGCUCAGUUGGUUAAGUGUCUGCCUUCAGCUCAGUCAUGAUCCCAGGGUUGUUGGAUUGAGCCCCACAUUGUGCUCCCUGCCCAGUGGGGAGUCUGCUUCUCCCUCUCCCUCUGCUUCUCCCCCUGCUUGUGCUCUCUCUCUCUGUCAAAUAAAUAAAAUAUUUAGAAAAAAUAAAUAAAAUAAAAUGAUGGUCAGUGGAUCCUGAGGUUCUGUGGAUGUGUCUCAAGUGUGAGCAAAGGGGAGCAGCCAAAGUCUAAGUGGGCAACCUUGCCCCUGGCCCAGGGUUUGAAUUAGAGCAAUUUCACAUUUAUCUGUUUUAUAUUUUGGGAUUCUACAAAAGUCUUCUUUGAAAAAAGUUUUCCUUUUCCUGUACAAAGAAAAUACUGGAAAAUUUACGCUAUAAAUGCCUUGUUGUGGUCUCUUUAUCUCUCCUUUCUUAAUAAAAAUUUAUCCAUGGGUAAAACUAAAAUGAAAAUGGAACCAAAUACAAAAUCAGCACCAAAAACACUAUAAUGAUUCAUAAUUGCUGUAGUUAUUAAUGGCAUAUCAUUAAUGAUAGCUCACUAAGGGAUGUGGUAGAGGAAAUAUAAAUUGCAGGUUAUGUCUAAUUCUCUUUACCUGCAAUUUCAGCUAUUUCUUCCAAUUUAGAAAGCAGAUAGGAAAGCAAGUGAGUGAGAGAGUGAUACUAUUCAGGGGAUAACCUUGAAUCUAUUCUAAUUUAGAAGAGAAAGUAAAUCAUUUGUAUGAUCGACAUCCUAAUUAUUACUAUUAAAAGUAUUUCAACACCUCUCAUUACUAAUGACAUCACAGUGUUUGAGGAUUUUCUAGGGUAAGGAGCUGAGAGCAAGAAGUCACUGCACUGAUUUUAAAAUAUGAAAUUUUUGGAUUGCAAGGGAUACAUUCUGUUGAGGACACCUUAGAUUUUUGAGGUAUGAUAGCUCUUAUUCCAUAUUUAUUUAUUUUUAUCAUAAUCUCAAUAGAAGAUAAUCUACGUGGCAAGAGAGAAAACAUCCUUGGAGGAUGACUGGUGAUUCUGCCUCACAGGAUUGGUGUGAGAAUCUCAUGAGGUCCUCUGUGAACGAUGCCCAUAAGGAAACAGUUCUUAGUCCCCUGGAGUGAGAGGGAGAAGGCAUAGCUCAGAUAAGCAGUGUAGCCAGGAAGAGUGAGGGACUGGAACCUGAUUAAUAAGUUAAUUGAAAUGAAACUAAACAGCUUGUUUGUAGUAAUACAAUCUUCAAAGCACAGUUUUGUAAGGGAUUUGGAUCUGUAGGAAAAGUGGGAUUUAUGCUAGAAAUAGAAUCAAGAGGGUAAGAAUCUGUACUGUUACUAGAAAUUAAUAGGCCAAGGCUGUGCAUAUUCUCUUCAGGAAUAACUCAUGGAUUUACAAGUGACUUAUUAAAUUAAAACUGUCACCCCCUAACUGUGCUAGUAAGCUGUGACAGCAGAGUGUGGGCUAGGCCUGGGGACAUAAUACACGGAGCAUGACACCUGGAGGAUACUUUCAAUAACCUGACCCACCUUCCUUUUUUAUUUUAUUUUAUUUUAUUUUAUUUUAUUUUAUUUUAUUUUAUUUUAUUUUAUUUAAGUAGACUCCACACCCAGGGUGGAGCCCAGCGCGAGGCCUGAAUGCAUGACCCUGAGAUCAAGACCUGAGCUGAGAUCAAGAAUGAUUAAGGGUUGAGAUACUGGGUGCUGCUAACGUUACUGACAGACAUCACGAGACUUGGUAGGACUUUUGCUUCAAAGCGGGAGGAAAAUUGCCUAAGACGUGUUUUACUAUGGGCCAGGUGUG